rnacentral:ncRNA from 1 species
CUUAUCAAGAGUGGUGGAGGGAACGGCCCUGUGAAACCCGGCAACCUGUCUGAAAGACAAGGUGCCAAAUCCGUCGGCAAACGAAAGAUGAGG